AUUGAACGCUGGCGGCGUGCAUAACACAUUCAAGUCGAACGAGGUAGCAAUACCUAGUGGCGGACGGGUGAGUAACGCGUGAGCAACCUGCCCUUGUGUGGGGGAUACCGUCUGGAAACGGACGUUAAUACCGCAUAAUGUAGUGAGAUCGCAUGGUCUUAUUACCAAAGAUUUAUUGCGCAAGGAUGGGCUCGCGUUGGAUUAGAUAGUUGGUGAGGUAACGGCCCACCAAGUCUGCGAUCCAUAGCCGGACUGAGAGGUUGAACGGCCACAUUGGAACUGAGAUACGGUCCAGACUCCUACGGGAGGCAGCAGUGGGGAAUAUUGGGCAAUGGGCGAAAGCCUGACCCAGCGACGCCGCGUGAAGGAAGAAGGUCUUCGGAUUGUAAACUUCUUUUAUCAGGGACGAAUACUGACGGUACCUGAUGAAUAAGCCACGGCUAACUACGUGCCAGCCGCCGCCGUAACAC
rnacentral:rRNA from 1 species